rnacentral:tRNA from 1 species
UCCCUUAUAGCUCAGUUGGUAAAGAAUCUGGCUUUAGUGCAGGAGACCCGGGUUCGAUCCCUGGUUUGGGAA